GCUCAUCAUUAAGAGAUGGGUUGACGCCCACACCAACCUGCCAUUCGGGGCAAGGUGGUUUGCUUUCAAGCAGAUGUGGCUCCUCGAAGAGCAACCAAGCCGGCAGCG
rnacentral:ncRNA from 18 species